UUAAGCGACUAAGCGUACACGGUGGAUGCCCUGGCAGUCAGAGGCGAUGAAGGACGUGCUAAUCUGCGAAAAGCGUCGGUAAGGUGAUAUGAACCGUUAUAACCGGCGAUGUCCGAAUGGGGAAACCCAGUGCAAUUCGUUGCACUAUCGUUAACUGAAUACAUAGGUUAACGAGGCGAACCGGGGGAACUGAAACAUCUAAGUACCCCGAGGAAAAGAAAUCAACCGAGAUUCCCCCAGUAGCGGCGAGCGAACGGGGAGCAGCCCAGAGUCUGAAUCAGCUUGUGUGUUAGUGGAACGGUCUGGAAAGUCCGACGGUACAGGGUGAUAGUCCCGUACACCAAAAUGCACAGGCUGUGAACUCGAAGAGUAGGGCGGGACACGUGGUAUCCUGUCUGAAUAUGGGGGGACCAUCCUCCAAGGCUAAAUACUCCUGACUGACCGAUAGUGAACCAGUACCGUGAGGGAAAGGCGAAAAGAACCCCGGCGAGGGGAGUGAAAAAGAACCUGAAACCGUGUACGUACAAGCAGUGGGAGCACCUUCGGGUGUGACUGCGUACCUUUUGUAUAAUGGGUCAGCGACUUAUAUUCUGUAGCAAGGUUAACCGUAUAGGGGAGCCGCAGGGAAACCGAGUCUUAACUGGGCGUUAAGUUGCAGGGUAUAGACCCGAAACCCGGUGAUCUAGCCAUGGGCAGGUUGAAGGUUGGGUAACACUAACUGGAGGACCGAACCGACUAAUGUUGAAAAAUUAGCGGAUGACUUGUGGCUGGGGGUGAAAGGCCAAUCAAACCGGGAGAUAGCUGGUUCUCCCCGAAAGCUAUUUAGGUAGCGCCUCGUGAAUUCAUCUUCGGGGGUAGAGCACUGUUUCGGCUAGGGGGUCAUCCCGACUUACCAACCCGAUGCAAACUACGAAUACCGAAGAAUGUUAUCACGGGAGACACACGGCGGGUGCUAACGUCCGUCGUGAAGAGGGAAACAACCCAGACCGCCAGCUAAGGUCCCAAAGUCAUGGUUAAGUGGGAAACGAUGUGGGAAGGCACAGACAGCCAGGAUGUUGGCUUAGAAGCAGCCAUCAUUUAAAGAAAGCGUAAUAGCUCACUGGUCGAGUCGGCCUGCGCGGAAGAUGUAACGGGGCUAAACCAUGCACCGAAGCUGCGGCAGCGACACUAUGUGUUGUUGGGUAGGGGAGCGUUCUGUAAGCCUGCGAAGGUGUGCUGUGAGGCAUGCUGGAGGUAUCAGAAGUGCGAAUGCUGACAUAAGUAACGAUAAAGCGGGUGAAAAGCCCGCUCGCCGGAAGACCAAGGGUUCCUGUCCAACGUUAAUCGGGGCAGGGUGAGUCGACCCCUAAGGCGAGGCCGAAAGGCGUAGUCGAUGGGAAACAGGUUAAUAUUCCUGUACUUGGUGUUACUGCGAAGGGGGGACGGAGAAGGCUAUGUUAGCCGGGCGACGGUUGUCCCGGUUUAAGCAUGUAGGCUGAUUAUCCAGGCAAAUCCGGAUAAUCAAGGCUGAGGUGUGAUGACGAGGCACUACGGUGCUGAAGUAACAAAUGCCCUGCUUCCAGGAAAAGCCUCUAAGCAUCAGGUAACAUCAAAUCGUACCCCAAACCGACACAGGUGGUCAGGUAGAGAAUACCAAGGCGCUUGAGAGAACUCGGGUGAAGGAACUAGGCAAAAUGGUGCCGUAACUUCGGGAGAAGGCACGCUGGUGUGUAGGUGAAGUCCCUGCGGAUGGAGCUGAGACCAGUCGAAGAUACCAGCUGGCUGCAACUGUUUAUUAAAAACACAGCACUGUGCAAACACGAAAGUGGACGUAUACGGUGUGACGCCUGCCCGGUGCCGGAAGGUUAAUUGAUGGGGUUAUCCGUAAGGAGAAGCUCUUGAUCGAAGCCCCGGUAAACGGCGGCCGUAACUAUAACGGUCCUAAGGUAGCGAAAUUCCUUGUCGGGUAAGUUCCGACCUGCACGAAUGGCGUAAUGAUGGCCAGGCUGUCUCCACCCGAGACUCAGUGAAAUUGAACUCGCUGUGAAGAUGCAGUGUACCCGCGGCAAGACGGAAAGACCCCGUGAACCUUUACUAUAGCUUGACACUGAACAUUGAGCCUUGAUGUGUAGGAUAGGUGGGAGGCUUUGAAGCGUGGACGCCAGUCUGCGUGGAGCCAACCUUGAAAUACCACCCUUUAAUGUUUGAUGUUCUAACGUUGGCCCCUGACCGGGGUUGCGGACAGUGUCUGGUGGGUAGUUUGACUGGGGCGGUCUCCUCCCAAAGCGUAACGGAGGAGCACGAAGGUUAGCUAAUCCUGGUCGGACAUCAGGAGGUUAGUGCAAUGGCAUAAGCUAGCUUGACUGCGAGCGUGACGGCGCGAGCAGGUGCGAAAGCAGGUCAUAGUGAUCCGGUGGUUCUGAAUGGAAGGGCCAUCGCUCAACGGAUAAAAGGUACUCCGGGGAUAACAGGCUGAUACCGCCCAAGAGUUCAUAUCGACGGCGGUGUUUGGCACCUCGAUGUCGGCUCAUCACAUCCUGGGGCUGAAGUAGGUCCCAAGGGUAUGGCUGUUCGCCAUUUAAAGUGGUACGCGAGCUGGGUUUAGAACGUCGUGAGACAGUUCGGUCCCUAUCUGCCGUGGGCGCUGGAGAAUUGAGGGGGGCUGCUCCUAGUACGAGAGGACCGGAGUGGACGCAUCACUGGUGUUCGGGUUGUCAUGCCAAUGGCACUGCCCGGUAGCUAAAUGCGGAAGAGAUAAGUGCUGAAAGCAUCUAAGCACGAAACUUGCCCCGAGAUGAGUUCUCCCUGAGACUUUAAGUCUCCUGAAGGAACGUUGAAGACGACGACGUUGAUAGGCCGGGUGUGUAAGCGCAGCGAUGCGUUGAGCUAACCGGUACUAAUGAACCGUGAGGCUUAACCUU
rnacentral:rRNA from 1 species